UCUCAGAUGGUCUAACGGUCAGGAUACCUGCCGGUCUUGCAGGUGGUAGAGGUUCAAUUCCUCUUCUGAGAG